rnacentral:rRNA from 1 species
AUGUGGUUUAAUUCGAUGCAACGACGAAAACCUUACCCACCUUGACAUGGCAGGAAUCCCAAAGAGAUUUGGGAGUGCUCGAAAGAGGACCUGCACACAGGUGCUGCAUGGCUGUCGUCAGCUCGUGUCGUGAGAUGUUGGGUUAAGUCCCGCAACGAGCGCAACCCUUGCCAUUAGUUGCUACGAAAGGGCACUCUAAUGGGACUGCCGGUGACAAACCGGAGGAAGGUGGGGAUGACGUCAAGUCCUCAUGGCCCUUAUAGGUGGGGCUACACACGUCAUACAAUGGAUGGUACAAAGGGUCGCCAACCCGCGAGGGGGAGCCAAUCCCAUAAAGCCAUUCGUAGUCCGGAUCGCAGUCUGCAACUCGACUGCGUGAGGUCGGAAUCGCUAGUAAUCGCGAAUCAGCAUGUCGCGGUGAAUACGUUCCCGGGUCUU